rnacentral:rRNA from 1 species
UACGUAGGUGGCAAGCGUUGUCCGGAUUUACUGGGCGUAAAGAGCGCGCAGGCGGUCGGAUCAGUCGAAUGUGAAAGCCCCCGGCUCAACUGGGGAGGGUCAUUCGAUACUGUCCGACUCGAAGGCAGGAGAGGGAAGCGGAAUUCCCGGUGUAGUGGUGAAAUGCGUAGAUAUCGGGAGGAACACCAGUGGCGAAGGCGACUACCUGGCCUGUUCUUGACGCUGAGGCGCGAAAGCUAGGGGAGCAAACGGG